UCUUUCUCUCUCUUUCACCAUCUAAAAACCCUAAUCACAUUCUUCUCCUUCAUGCCUGUUGUUCAUCCUCCUCCUUCUGCUUCAACUUCCCAUCUGACGUUCUUUCUAUCAACAAACCCUAAUGAAUAAUAUACCCGAUCAAUCCGUUCUUUAGUUUCUUCAUUCCUUUUUCAAACCCUAAAACUCCAGCCGUACAGAGAUUGAAGAGAUUCACCAGGUGGAGAUGGCAGAGGAAGCGGUAUCUUUUGUGGGUAGUUCCUGAUUGGUGACCCUAAAACAGGUGAUAUCCUGCUUAGAUCAGAAAGUGCAUGUAUUAUUCCGGCCAAAUCACGACGGCUAAGGUAUACCACCCUACCAACCGACGAAGACGUUGAAUGGAAUAGUCAGUUGUGCUUCGGCUAGGGUUCCGCUGCGAACCUGAUGACGAGAUGAUCGGAGGUUGUCGGCUCUGCUGCCUGCACUUCUCUUGGUUAAUUUUUGGUCAGUUCUCAUAUGGCGUUACUCAUUUCUUAACAAGGUGGCUGCCAACUUAUGGAAGACUUCUUUACGGUAUUAAGAAAGAGUAUGCGUAGGGGCCACAGUUUAUCUGAUAUAGCCUUUUUAAACGGUGACUCAAGGGUACUUGCUUCUGACACAUGUGGGGCAAUAAGUAUGUUGGACAGAAGAUUGAGUGAUCUUCCACGAAGUGUGCUGACAACUAAGAAGAACACCAGCCUUACUAGCAUCCAGUUACUUGGAGAUCAAUAUGUAUGGUGCUAGCAAGAGUGGGUUUAUAAAUAUAUAUAUAUAUAUAUAUAUAUAUAUAUAUAUAUAUAUGGGAUCUACGUGGUGGAGGAUCACCCGCUGCUUCUCAAAGUGACAAGGAGCCGGCAGGUGCACUCUUCCCACUAACAUCAGUUAACUUAGAAUCUAUUCUGAAUGAAAUUGGGCCUCUAAAGGCACAAUCAAACAGUCGACCAAAGUAAAUACAUAAUCUAUCAACAUUAAUCCAUCCUGUCCAUAUCAGCUGGGAUUCCAUCUUGAUGAUGGUUGGUAUGGUGUUUUGGAUAUGCAUAAUUACUGAGUGUUAUCCAUAGCCCUCCCCCUCCUCCGUGGCUGUGGUAGGUGCAGUUUAAGGAAGAGUACCAGUUCUGUUUGAUGGAGGAUAAGGCGAGGAACAGAUGUAUUCAAAGUUGAUCGCUCUGGAUACACAUGCGGUUACGGAAUUUUACCUGCAAAUGUGAAGCUAAAAGGGAUUGUGUUGUAGCACUGUCAGCUUGUCCCCAUGCCAAAGCCAGUACAUGUUCCAGUGCCAGAGUUAGAUGAUGUGGAAGCUGUCAGGCAAAUAUUGGUUCAGUCAACUGAUUUGGGAGCAGUCCAAGGCACUUAUAUACUGCAACUAACUGCCAUAUGGAUAUGAUGGACUUUCUUUAGUCGAAUGCUUCAUAUCUUUACACAAGAAGAAUUCUUGUAUAGUUAUCAAAGGUGCUAGGUGCCCCCAAGGUGUAUAGGCAUCGCCUGGGGCCUAGGCGCAAAGCGCAAAAAAAAGCGAAAAAAAAGCGCACUUAAAUGAAACAAGCCAGAUGCUGAGAUGUAUGCCUCUUUUACACAAUAUUGUAAAAUUACAUUAUUUAAUGUUAUCGUUCAAUCGGUUACUAAUUUUACCUAUCC
rnacentral:lncRNA from 1 species